GUGGGGAAUAUUGGACAAUGGGGGAAACCCUGAUCCAGCAAUGCCGCGUGAGUGAAGAAGGCCUUAGGGUUGUAAAGCUCUUUCGGCGGGGACGAUGAUGACGGUACCCGCAGAAGAAGCCCCGGCUAACUUCGUGCCAGCAGCCGCGGUAAUACGAAGGGGGCUAGCGUUGUUCGGAAUCACUGGGCGUAAAGGGCGCGUAGGCGGCUAUGCAAGUCAGGCGUGAAAGCCCCGGGCUCAACCCGGGAAUUGCGCUUGAUACUGUGUGGCUUGAGUCCGGGAGAGGAUGGCGGAAUUCCCAGUGUAGAGGUGAAAUUCGUAGAUAUUGGGAAGAACACCGGUGGCGAAGGCGGCCAUCUGGACCGGUACUGACGCUGAGGCGCGAAAGCGUGGGGAGCAAACAGGAUUAGAAACCCCGGUAGUCC
rnacentral:rRNA from 1 species